GGAGCUACACAAACCUAAGAGAUUUGUAAAGGGAUCUGAAUUUUCAUCUUCAAUCUUCUGGGGAGUCAGUUAAAUGUAAAAAAGAUUGUUGGCAACUUGCUAUUAAGAAAGGCUAAAGAUGAAUCAUAAAUGCUGAACAGACCUUACAGUUACCCACAAACAAUGAAGACAGCAACAGACUGGUAGGCAAGAGCUGGAAAAGACCUAUAUGGGCAAGCAGAAACACUGUUUUAGAGACAGAAAAACAGAUAUUGGAACUUAUAAGCCUGUCUAUUAGGGUGAAAAACAAAGUAAAAGCCGUCACAGAACAUCUGAAACCAUUCUA
rnacentral:lncRNA from 1 species